GUCCCCGUAGCGCAAUGGAUAGCGGGUUGGAUUUCUGAUCCAAAGGUCGUGGCUUCGAAUUCCACCUGGGAUG